UGGAGCAGAUGAAAAAAACGCGCUGCAAGAAACAAAGACAAAUGCAUCAUCAUCAAAUGCGCUGCAAAUAGAGAAACGAUGCAAAGUGCGAAACGAUGAAAACCAAGAAAACACCUGCAAAAGAAAAACGCUGCAUAAAGAGUCGCCACAACGGAAGUGCUCCAAACCUGCAGGGGGCGCUCAGUGUAACAGCUCAAUGGAGAGACACACCGGCUGGACAGGGAGAAAGGAUCUGCCUUUGAGAGACAGAAAACAGCUGACUGACGAUAAACUACAGCGGGGACUAAUGAUUGUUACGACUCCUGUAUGAGGACACAACUUACUGCUGGGGCCACAGAACUGUUGGCUGAUGAGACGCUCAUGAUUCAUGAAAUGGGUCAAAUGCAGAUGACAAAGUAAAGCCCACACUGCACUGGAGGUGCUGAACCAGACUCCUGCCACAGAUUAGGACCUGACUUUGAACCUAUCAGACAUAAGGCCCAUUCUGCUCUUCCUCCUCCAGAAGACGAGAGAUACAUCAGACUGAGUGGCCCAAGUACAAUGGUUCAUGCCUUCACUGUCCAUGUCCACACUCACUGAGGAGGAGGUCGUCCAGACUGCAGCACAUCUGUAGGGCCUCUGGUUGCAUCAGGCCUUCCUCCUGCUGUCUCUAAUGUGUGUUAAUAGUGAUGUGUCCUUAAAGUUUAGGUUUAACUUCUAAUUUCUUGCACAAGUAAAACAGUAAAAUGGUGGUUCCUUUUCAUCUUAGCUGAGGAGCACCUAAACAACUUCCAUCACUGAGGCAGUGUACCAUGAUAAAUGUGGCCUUAUAUGAUAUUACCAAGUGUGUGAGACAAAACUGAAAACAUAUCAUUUACUCAUAAGUUUUUCUGGAUGUUUUUCGUCUAUACUGACAUUUGUUUCAUGGUGAAAUGUGCCGUUUAUUUAGUGUCUCUUUUGGUAGUAACUGAUUACAUGCACUAUAAGAAUUUACUAUUGUACUGCAGUUAUGCAGUGAUAUUGGAGAUUUCUAGUACUGUAUACGUGUACUGGGACACUUCAUCCAGAACAGUACUCCGAUUAGAGAGUAGAAACAGACACAGGAAUGUAUUUUUUUGAGCUUUAAUGUCUUGUCUUCAAUCUUUUCAGCUGAUCGUUUGAUUUCGUCUGGUUCUCUCUAUCAUAGACACAGACUUUGGUUAAGGGAAAUGACCUGAAGCCAGAGCAGUCUAGUAGUCUAGUCUCCAGUAACAGUGUCACUUUGCAAAGAUAAUUUGUCCAUUUUGAAUUGUCACCUGGUUCAGUAAAAAGGUAACAGUUUGAGAGUACACUGACAUACAGUUGUUUGUACAAACCUAUUAAUGCAGUGUGUGCGUAAUGGGUUUAAUGUUUGACUAUUCACAUUAUG